GACGAACGCUGGCGGCGUGCUUAACACAUGCAAGUCGAACGGAAAGGCCCUGCUUUUGUGGGGUGCUCGAGUGGCGAACGGGUGAGUAACACGUGAGUAACCUGCCCUUGACUUUGGGAUAACUUCCGGAAACUGGGGCUAAUAACGGAUAGGAGCUCCUGCUGCCUGCUGGGGGUUGGAAAGUUUCGGCAGUUGGGGAUGGACUCGCGGCUUAGCAGCUGGUUGGUGGGGUAGUGGCUUCCCAAGGCGUUGACGGGUCGCCGGCCUGAGAGGGUGACCAGCCACAGUGGGACUGAGAUACGGCCCAGAGUCCUACGGGAUGCAGCAGUGGGGAAGAUUGCACGAUGGGCGGAAGCCGGAUGCAGCAACGCCGCGUGCGGGAUGACGGCCUUCGGGGUGUAAACCGCUUUCGCCUGUGACGAAGCGUGAGUGACGGUAAUGGGUAAGGAAGCACCGGCUAACUACGUG
rnacentral:rRNA from 1 species